rnacentral:rRNA from 1 species
UGCAGUCGACGAAGUCUUCGGACUUAGUGGCGCACGGGUGAGUAACACGUGGGAAUAUACCUCUCAGUGGGGGAUAACGUCGGGAAACUGACGCUAAUACCGCAUACGCCCUUCGGGGGAAAGAUUUAUCGCUGAGAGAUUAGCCCGCGUCCGAUUAGCUAGUUGGUAAGGUAAUGGCUUACCAAGGCAACGAUCGGUAGCUGGUCUGAGAGGAUGAUCAGCCACACUGGGACUGAGACACGGCCCAGACUCCUACGGGAGGCAGCAGUGGGGAAUAUUGGACAAUGGGCGAAAGCCUGAUCCAGCCAUGCCGCGUGAGUGAUGAAGGCCUUAGGGUUGUAAAGCUCUUUCGACGGGGACGAUGAUGACGGUACCCGUAGAAGAAGCCCCGGCUAACUUCGUGCCAGCAGCCGCGGUAAUACGAAGGGGGCUAGCGUUGUUCGGAAUUACUGGGCGUAAAGCGCACGCAGGCGGUGAUCAUAGUCAGAAGUGAAAGCCCUGGGCUCAACCCGGGAAUUGCUUUUGAUACUGGGUCACUAGAAUCACGGAGAGGGUAGUGGAAUUCCGAGUGUAGAGGUGAAAUUCGUAGAUAUUCGGAAGAACACCAGUGGCGAAGGCGACUACCUGGCCGUCGAUUGACGCUCAUGUGCGAAAGCGUGGGGAGCAAAC